AGCUCUUCGAGUGGUGUGGAUGUUUAUUGGGCUAAAGCAUCCGUAGCUGGCUAAGUUAGUCCCUUGUUAAAUCCACCGAAUUAAUCGUUGGAUUGCGGGGGAUACUGCUUGGCUAGGGGACGAGAGAGGCAGACGGUAUUUCCGGGGUAGGGGUGAAAUCCUAUAAUCCCGGGAAGACCACCAGUGGCGAAGGCUGUCUGCUAGAACGCGCCCGACGGUGAGGGAUGAAAGCUGGGGGAGCGAACC
rnacentral:rRNA from 1 species